UGAUUAUAAACUAAUGUAUAAUUUACCAGAGUACUAUGAACACACAGUUUAAAACUCAAAGGGCUUGGCGGUGCUUUAGACUAUUCAGGGGAACCUGUCUCGUAAUCGAUAGUCCACGAUACACCUAACCUUUUUUAGUUAUCAGUAUGUAUACCGUCGUCGUCAGGUAACUUUUAAAAAUAAAGAAGUUAGCGAUAAAAAUUAUGAUGAUUUUGUACGUCAGAUCAAGGUGCAGCUUAUAAAAAGGUGAGGAUGGGUUACAAUUAAGAUUUAUAAUAACGGAAAAAAGCUUGAUACAGCUUUUAAUG
rnacentral:rRNA from 1 species